rnacentral:rRNA from 1 species
AGAGUUUGAUCCUGGCUCAGAUUGAACGCUGGCGGCAUGCUUUACACAUGCAAGUCGAACGGCAGCACGGGGGUAACCCUGGUGGCGAGUGGCGAACGGGUGAGGAAUGCACCGGAACGUGUCUUCAAGUGGGGGAUAACGCAUCGAAAGGUGUGCUAAUACCGCAUAAUCUCUGAGGAGAAAAGCAGGGGAUCGCAAGACCUUGCGCUUUUGGAGCGGCCGAUGCCUGAUUAGCUUGUUGGUGAGGUAAAAGCUCACCAAGGCUUCGAUCAGUAGCUGGUCUGAGAGGACGACCAGCCACACUGGGACUGAGACACGGCCCAGACUCCUACGGGAGGCAGCAGUGGGGAAUUUUGGACAAUGGGGGCAACCCUGAUCCAGCCAUGCCGCGUGAGUGAAGAAGGCCUUCGGGUUGUAAAGCUCUUUCAGCCGGAACGAAACGGUUACGGUUAAUACCCGUGACUACUGACGGUACCGGAAGAAGAAGCACCGGCUAACUACGUGCCAGCAGCCGCGGUAAUACGUAGGGUGCAAGCGUUAAUCGGAAUUACUGGGCGUAAAGCGUGCGCAGGUGGUUUUGUAAGUCAGAUGUGAAAUCCCCGGGCUUAACCUGGGAACUGCGUUUGAAACUGCAAGGCUAGAGUGUGGCAGAGGGGGGUGGAAUUCCGCGUGUAGCAGUGAAAUGCGUAGAGAUGUGGA